rnacentral:rRNA from 1 species
GAGGAAUAUUGGUCAAUGGGUGCAAGCCUGAACCAGCCAUCCCGCGUGAAGGACGACUGCCCUAUGGGUUGUAAACUUCUUUUGUAUAGGGAUAAACCUACCCUCGUGAGGGUAGCUGAAGGUACUAUACGAAUAAGCACCGGCUAACUCCGUGCCAGCAGCCGCGGUAAUACGGAGGGUGCAAGCGUUAUCCGGAUUUAUUGGGUUUAAAGGGUCCGUAGGCGGACUUAUAAGUCAGUGGUGAAAGCCUGUCGCUUAACGAUAGAACUGCCAUUGAUACUGUAAGUCUUGAGUAUAUUUGAGGUAGCUGGAAUAAGUAGUGUAGCGGUGGAAUGCAUAGAUAUUACUUAGAACACCAAUUGCGAAGGCAGGUUACCAAGAUAUAACUGACGCUGAGGGGCGAAAGCGUGGGGAGCGAGC